rnacentral:rRNA from 1 species
CCUACGGGAGGCAGCAGUGGGGAAUAUUGCACAAUGGGCGCAAGCCUGAUGCAGCCAUGCCGCGUGUGUGAAGAAGGCCUUCGGGUUGUAAAGCACUUUCAGCGGGGAGGAAGGCGGUGAGGUUAAUAACCUCAUCGAUUGACGUUACCCGCAGAAGAAGCACCGGCUAACUCCGUGCCAGCAGCCGCGGUAAUACGGAGGGUGCAAGCGUUAAUCGGAAUUACUGGGCGUAAAGCGCGCGCAGGCGGUCUGUCAAGUCGGAUGUGAAAUCCCCGGGCUCAACCUGGGAACUGCAUUCGAAACUGGCAGGCUAGAGUCUUGUAGAGGGGGGUAGAAUUCCAGGUGUAGCGGUGAAACGCGUAGAGAUCUGGAGGAAUACCGGUGGCGAAGGCGGCCCCCUGGACAAAGACUGACGCUCAGGUGCGAAAGCGUGGGGAGCAAACAGGAUUAGAUACCCGAAUAGUC